UACAUGUGGUUUUUGCUGAAC
rnacentral:piRNA from 1 species